rnacentral:lncRNA from 1 species
UUCAAGAAGUUUUCCAACUAAGGAGUUUAACGUGGCACCGCAGGAUCAUGACCACAGCGCCUACGAUAAACACUUCGUCUCUCCUACAUCAUUACUUGCUAUGUUCUUCGGUGGCCUCCACAGUCAGAAUCACUGCUUCUCAUUCCACUCCUGUCUUUUUCGAUAAAGAAUCAAAUGCAUUUUUGGAUCAUCAAAUGGAAUUAGGAAUUAUAUAACUUCCAGCAGUCAUUUUCAACUAAGGAGAUGAAAUGAAGGUUGAAUCAGAGUCACCCGUGACACUGUCAACACACUCUCUCCUCUCAACAGGCCCCAUUUUCUCCUAGAGAUUCUAGCACAUUCUUGUCUCGGGGGCAGCAUGGAUAGACUCUGCCACUGUGAUCAAUAGUUACUUAUAAGAGUGGGUUGUAUCUCCCAAAUACUGGGAUGGGGAAAAGGUAGAGAAAGAACUCUGUUGUCUUGGAGCAACAUUUCUCAACAGUGUCCUAGGUCUUCGAGUAUUUGUGAAGUUAGCAACAGAGACCUGCGGGUAAUGUUCAUUAUUUUUUAAAACAACCUUAUGGAAACUUUAUAUCUAAUAAAGCUGCUCUAGCUGCUGGCUGAAACCAUGUCUCUUGUCUUCAAGCUAAAAUUAUAUCAACUGAUGGUGAUGAGGUGACUAGUGUAAA